AGUCUUAACAGGGCGAUUAGUCGGAAGGAGUAGACGCGAAACCAAGUGAUCUACCCUUGGUCAGGUUGAAGGUUAGGUAACACUAACUGGAGGACCGAACCGAUAAGCGUUGAAAAGCUUCCGGAUGAACUGAGGGUGGGGGUGAAAGGCUAAUCAAACUUGGAGAUAGCUCGUACUCCCCGAAAUGCAUUUAGGUGCAGCCUUGGGAAUUACUACUGUGAGGUAGAGCGACUGAUAAGAUGCGAGGGCUUCACCGCCUAUCAAGUCUUGAUAAACUCCGAAUGCGCAGUAGUUCGAUCCCAGGAGUGAGGGCAUGGGUGCUAAGGUCCAUGUCCUAAAGGAGAAGAAUCCAGACCAUCAGCUAAGGUCCCGAAAUAAUUGCUAAGUUGAACUAACGAAGUCAGAUUGCUAAGACAGCUAGGAUGUUGGCUUGGAAGCAGCCAUUCAUUUAAAGAGUGCGUAACAGCUCACUAGUCGAGGAGUUUGGCGUGGAUAAUAAUCGGGCAUUAAGCAAUUUACCGAAGCUAUGGGAUGUUAACUAAACACUAACAUCGGUAGGGGAGCAUUCCACUCUGCGUCGAAGGUGAAGCGUGAGCUUUGCUGGAGCGUGUGGAAAAGCAAAUGUAGGUAUAAGUAACGAUAAAGGGGGUGAGAAACCCCCUCGCCGAAAGACUAAGGUUUCCUGAUCAACGCUAAUCGGAUCAGGGUUAGUCGGGUCCUAAGGCUCAGCCGAACGGUGAGGCCGAUGGCAGAACAGGUUAAUAUUCCUGUACUACCUUAAGGAGUGACGUGGAGACGGAGGAGUGACAACGCCGCGGACUGACGGAAUAGUCCGUUGAAGGGUGUAGAUGUUGAUUAUCCCAGGCAAAUCCGGGAUAAGAGUCGAACCUGAUAGUAUACCAAAUUCUUCGGAAUAAGGUAAUAGCGCGUGUAAGCAUACUCCCAAGAAAAUCCGCUAAACUUAAUCUUUAAGGUACCCGUACCGCAAACGGACACACGUAGUCGGGUUGAAUAUACUAAGGCGCUUGAGUGAUUCACGGUUAAGGAACUAGGCAAAUUGACCCUGUAACUUCGGGAUAAAGGGUCCCAACGAGAGUUGGGCGCAGAGAAUAGGUC
rnacentral:rRNA from 1 species